rnacentral:sRNA from 1 species
CCCGCUACGUUGGAAGGCUCGGACACUGCGGGAAAUGGCCAGAAAAUAGCCUGCUACGAGGCUCCAAAUGGUCCCCGCUCCCUCGGCGAAGGGCCCGCUA